CCUACGGGAGGCAGCAGUGGGGAAUAUUGCGCAAUGGACGAAAGUCUGACGCAGCGACGCCGCGUGAGGGAUGACUGCCCUAUGGGUUGUAAACCUCUUUUGUAUGGGGGGAAUAAGCUUUACGAGUAGAGUGAUGACAGUACCAUACGAAUAAGCAUCGGCUAACUCCGUGCCAGCAGCCGCGGUAAUACGGAGGAUGCGAGCGUUAUCCGGAUUUAUUGGGUUUAAAGGGUGCGUAGGCGGCAUUAUAAGUUAGUGGUAAAAUAUUGGGGCUUCACCUCACUACGCCAUUAAUACUGUAGAGC
rnacentral:rRNA from 1 species